GGCGCUUUGCCCGAGUGGUUAAGGGGUAAGUCUCGAAAACUUAUAGGCUCUGCCUGCGUCGGUUCAAAUCCGACAGGCGUCG
rnacentral:tRNA from 2 species